UACGCAGGUGGCAAGCGUUGUCCGGAUUUAUUGGGUUUAAAGGGUGCGUAGGCGGUUCUAUAAGUCAGUGGUGAAAUCCGGCAGCUCAACUGUCGAUGUGCCAUUGAUACUGCAGAACUUGAGUACAGACGAGGUAGGCGGAAUUGACGGUGUAGCGGUGAAAUGCUUAGAUAUCGUCAAGAACACCGAUAGCGAAGGCAGCUUACUAGACUGUAACUGACGCUGAUGCACGAAAGUGUGGGGAUCAAACAGG
rnacentral:rRNA from 1 species